rnacentral:rRNA from 1 species
GACGAACGCUGGCGGCAGGCUUAACACAUGCAAGUCGAACGGGUGCAGCAAUGCAUCAGUGGCAGACGGGUGAGUAACACGUGGGAACCUUCCUAGGGGUACGGAACAACUCAGGGAAACUUGAGCUAAUACCGUAUACGUCCGUAAGGAGAAAGAUUCAUCGCCCCUAGACGGGCCCGCGUCGGAUUAGGUAGUUGGUGGGGUAACGGCCUACCAAGCCUACGAUCCGUAGCUGAUCUGAGAGGAUGAUCAGCCACACUGGGACUGAGACACGGCCCAGACUCCUACGGGAGGCAGCAGUGGGGAAUCUUGGACAAUGGGCGCAAGCCUGAUCCAGCCAUGCCGCGUGAGUGAAGAAGG